GUAACGUAUUUGGUAGCUGCCUCAGAGGGUAUCGUUUAAAUACAGCGUUUGGUUCGUCCGGCGGGCGCCCUCUCGGGCUGCAGACCCCCCCUGGGGUCCGCCCGCCGAAGCAACGGCAGGUGUGGUUCACAGUGGUUUGGAGUGCUGGACUCGCUAAUGAUCCCUCCGCUGGUUCACCAACGGAGA
rnacentral:misc_RNA from 1 species